rnacentral:rRNA from 1 species
AGUCUGCAACUCGACUAUAUGAAGCUGGAAUCGCUAGUAAUCGCGAAUCAGCAUGUCGCGGUGAAUACGUUCCCGGGUCUUGUACACACCGCCCGUCACACCAUGGGAGUCGGAAACGCCCGAAGCCAGUGACCCAACCGAUAAAACGGAGGGAGCUGUCGAAGGUGGGGCCGGUAACUGGGGUGAAGUCGUAACAAGGUAAC